AAAAAGUAAUGAAAUUCUGACUCAAGAAGGAACUGAAUAAAUAUUAAACAAGGAAGGAAGAGUUGAAAACUCAGCACUCAACUGCCAGAUAGAGAAGAUUUACAAGACAAGAGGGAUCUUGACUUAACAGUCUAGUACUCAAAGCUCUCCAUCAAGCUGUGAAGCUCUGAGCUUAAAUAUGAACUGGAAAAUGAUGAAGCAGGC
rnacentral:lncRNA from 1 species